CUUUGAGAAAGUUGUUUUAUUUUCAUUGUUAGGUUAUGACAGAAAAUUAAUGGGCCAGAAUCAGGGUACCAUCGAUUCUUCAGAACCAGAGGGACCAUGCGUGGACGAGAUGCUAAGAUGGUGGAUUACCCAUGUGCCUCAGAUUACCAGCCAUCAGGAGGAACCCUCGAAUCUGGAAGUAAUUAAGGAACCAAUCUUCUACCAAUGCUCCAAAGAAAACUUCACCUGCCAUCAGCCACUCUGCCUGAUGAUCACUAUCUCUGGAAAAGUCUCUCCUCUAGUCCAUGCUGCUCACCUCCAAAAAAACAAAAACAAAAAAAAAAAAACUAGAACUGCAAAGCAGUUAUGACCGGGGUCCAAGCCCUUUUAUGCAUGUCAGCCUUUGUCAUGUUGUUUGUAGCAUAUUGUUGAUCUUUUAGCUUCUUGGACAAAUUUCUCUCCAACAAACGCAGUAAAUAAAUAAAAUUUGAGAAGUUUGAG